CCUUUUGCUACUGAUAUCACCAAAAGCUUUUCAUUGCUUUUAGCUUUCCUUUCAAGUCUAUUUUUGUGCUUCCUGCACACUUUCUGGAGAUAUUAUCUACUUGCUGGUAUACUUCCUUGGUGGAAUUAUUCUUCCUCUAUUUUCUACCCAUUUGUUUUAACUCUUACCUCAAUAGAAUGCUCUCUGUGCAGAGAUGGUGGUUUUUUAAAGGAUCUCUCAGCUUCUCCAAAAGGAGCAGAAAAAAGUGCUCUGAAGCUUGAUGAAGAGCAGUUUGGAGAGACAGAAUUGCAAGAAGCAAGAGGCAAAGUAAGAACCGAGAAUUUUUGCUAAGUUUAUGGGUAACACCUGAGCAACAAAUUCCAAGGCCUAUUCUUCAAGCAAUUGAUAUGUAUGCUAUACAUAAGAAACGUGACUGCUCUCAUUUCAUUAGAAAAGAAAGCAAAUGUAUUUCUUGAUGUAGUGCGUUUCUUACCUGGCAAAGGGAACAUGGAGGUAAUCCCAUGCCUUUGACAUCUUGGCACAACGUAUUUCCAGGAUUACCAAGACUGUACAUCACUAAGGUAUUU